rnacentral:tRNA from 1 species
UCCCUGGUGGCUCAGAUGGUAAAGCAUCUGCCUGCAAUGCAGGAGACCCGGGUUUGAUCCCUGGGUUGGGAA